GUUACAGGGACAGAUGAGCACACACGUCUGCUUAUCCGCUGGAGGGUGGCUCAUGAAGCCCUCUUCACCGGAAAGCAGAAUGCUGCCAUCAAAGGCUUUGAAUCUUUUGUGGCGGAGCAGAGGAUGCAAGGAAAGAUGAUGGAGGCAUUUGUUGGGGAAAAAAAGGUUUUAGGGAUUUUACUAAAAUAUAAAGAUCUGAAAUGUCUGCAGACUGAUGUGAGCCCUGAAGAUGAGGAGCCCAGAGCUGAAUCCUGGAAACGGUGCCAUGGAUGAGACCCUCCAUCACUCCACCUGCCCU